UUUUUUUUUUUUUUUUGAGAUGAGAGGGAAAUAUUUAAUUGCACACACAUGCUUAUUAUGUCUUGUCAGUACCUCUGUUUCAUGUCUUAGUCUGAGUGUUGUUUUUCUAUAUAUCUAUUGCUAAUUAGUUUCAUGCCUUGUUUAAAAAAGAUUUGGUGCAGCACAUAUGAUUAUCAAGUUACGGUAUAUUGUGUAACAAUGCCAUUUACAGAAGAGAAUCACCACUGCACUGAUUUUGGAAAUAAUUAUGAUCUUUAAUUUUGCCUGGGU
rnacentral:misc_RNA from 1 species